ensembl:lncRNA
AUGCCUGACAGGUUCACUCUGCUUACUUUCAGCUUUUGUUUCAUACUUCACAAUGUUUGUAGUUGGACCGUGAGUGCACCUCUCAACCACACAUUCAAUGAGGACGACUCUGUCAGUGUCACAUGCAUGUUUAAUGGAGAGGAUCAGUUUCAUUUGGAAGCUAAGUUGAAAAUGAAUGAUGAAUAUGUUUGUGAGGUUUAUAACAAAAGCCAAGUACAGGAUAAACGUAACUGUUUAUGGGAGCGUAAGGACAACAAAUUCACGUUCACCUUAUUGAACCCUGAGGGCUUACACAAAAAUAAUUUUUCCUGUGAGAUGUCCAAAAUUAAACCAUUUCCAGUCACAAUGAAAGUAGGACCAAAAACUAAGCUUUUCCGAGGUUGCAAUAAGUCUUUGGCUCCACUGAAGAACAGCUGUCCAAUCACUAACCAAACAAAUAACCAGGAUCACAGACCUGUAGAAAGUUACACACCUGAAGAAGUGUAUACCCUAUUAAUCUGUGGGCUGAUAAUAGUGGUGGUAAUGCUAUCUGUCUACAGCAUUAUUGUUACGGCAGUCUACAUCAGAUUGAGGGCCAUGAAUCCCGAGUCUUCUGACACACUGACCUAUGUCCCAAUGCAGAGGAAUGUUAACUGGCGUAAUCUAGACAACACCGAAUAUGUGGACAUGCGUGAAGUGCAGAAACGGGGAGGAUCCCAAAGAGAUAUGAACCACAACUCUCAUCAUGCUUUUGCCUGAGCCCAUUUCUAGUGGCAUAAGUGAGCUCAUGCUUUGACUGCUCUGCUGGAUGAAUUUCACUUGGGCCACACUAAAGAAUAACACAGGAUAAAACUAUCGCCUUUCUACCAAACAAAACAGACUUUUCUGAAUGCCUGAAUCUGCAUAUUGCGGCUGCACUGCAUACAUUACACAGUCUUGAUGUUCUCUGUGUCAGAUGGUUUCAUCUGGUGGCUUGUACAACCUAAUGCUGAAUUGUAGCUAUGCCAAGUUAAAUGUAUAUAAAGUAUCUAACUUGGCAUUUUUUAUUUAUCAUUUUGAUCCCAUGGACCAAUAAUCAAUGAUAAUAAGAGUUUUGUUCAGUGCUUCCCCUCCCCCCUCUCCCCCCAAAAAAAAUUAUAAAAGAAAUUCUAACAAUAAAUAUAUAA